GACGAACGCUGGCGGCGUGCUUAACACAUGCCAGUCGAACGGAAAGGCCCUGCUUUUGUGGGGUGCUCGAGUGGCGAACGGGUGAGUAACACGUGAGUAACCUGCCCUUGACUUUGGGAUAACUUCAGGAAACUGGGGCUAAUACCGGAUAGGAGCUCCUGCUGCAUGGUGGGGGUUGGAAAGUUUCGGCGGUUGGGGCUGGAAUCGCGGCUUAUCCGCUUGUUGGUGGGGUAGUGGCUUACCAAGGCUUUGACGGGUAGCCGGCCUGAGAGGGUGACCGGCCACAUUGGGACUGAGAUACGGCCCAGACUCCUACGGGAGGCAGCAGUGGGGAAUAUUGCACAAUGGGCGGAAGCCUGAUGCAGCAACGCCGCGUGCGGGAUGACGGCCUUCGGGUUGUAAACCGCUUUCGCCUGUGACGAAGCGUGAGUGACGGUAAUGGGUAAAGAAGCACCGGCUAACUACGUG
rnacentral:rRNA from 1 species